rnacentral:lncRNA from 1 species
AUGAAUCCAGUAAAGNNNNNNNNNNNNNNNNNNNNNNNNNNNNNNNNNNNNNNNNNNNNNNNNNNNNNNNNNNNNNNNNNNNNNNNNNNNNNNNNNNNNNNNNNNNNNNNAAAAAAAAAAAAAAAAAAAGGGUGGGGGUCAUGGACUGAGGAGGAAUGGCUUGGGGAGGGCAAGGGGAAAUGCAAGGGCCUCAAAUCUGAGGGUCGAGGCCCUUGGGGAGGGAUUUUUGUCUCUGGAGCAGAGCUGACAGUGUCCUCCCCUCUUCUAGGGGAGAGGGACUUGCUGGGUUCUGGCAGGCAGGCAGGCAGGCAGGGGACUUUGGGAACACACUCGGACCCCAUGGCAGUAACGCAGCCUGCCAUCUCCUYAGGGGGAGCAGGGAGAGCCUGGGGCUGCUGGGCUCAAGUUUCACCUCCCCCCUCUUGCACAGGCUCACCUGGGAGGCCAUCGGCRACGRCUCCAUCACUUGUGACUCAGCAAGUGAAGCCAGCUUCUCUUCAGAGACCUCUUUCUCCCAUACCAGCGAUGACUCCCUCACUUCCACUUUGGGGUGCAAAGCCAGCUCUUCUUCAGGGGAGUCGCUCUCCUCUUUCGCUGAUGGAGAAGGUCUGGCUCAAGGCUCUAGAGUGCAGCCUGCCCUCACGCAUCCCCAGCCUAGCCAGGAGCAGCAGCAGGACCCGGCAACUCGCCCGGCAACUGGCAGGGAAGCAGGGGCCAGCUGCCAUUUGGCUGACAGUGGCCUGCAGCAGCAGCAGCACCUUGAGGUCCACCUGGGUGUUCCCCCCCGAUCCCCAAGAGCGUUGGGCUUCCACGUCAGGGAAACGGAGACAACGUUCUUGUACCCUGAUGCCCGAGAAGACUURGAGGAGCCUGUCCAGAAAAAGAAUCUUGAGACACAACUGGGGCUGCCAGCUGCUAUCUGCAAAUCUCUGCAGGUCAACCUGUCCCCGGCUCCUAGCCCACCACCACYGCCUGCAAAGCCAGACACGGAGCAGGUUUCCAGCAUGCAGAAGCAAACCUUCCCGGGCAAAGCUGAGUGCAGUGCUGUGGACUUGGAUUUCAGCUGGGCUAGCAAGGAGAGCUUGGAGUGUCUCGUCCAGGAAAAUGAACGGCAGCGGCAAGUGGGCCUGUCAGCCAGUCUGGGUGCACCUCAGCAGGAGUUCCCAAGCUCWGCUCCUCAAACACCUCAGCGGCAUGCCGAGCCUGAUGAGAUGGUGGUUCCCAGYGUGCAGGAGCUGCCCCUCCUCGACAAGAGUGUCAAAAAGCAGCAGGAGCUGCAAGUUACAGAAACGCAGGUACAACAGCACUUUAGGCUGCCAACAAGGAUCCUGGACUGCAAGAAGAAGUUUGCAGCCCCUGUCCCAGGGCAAAAAGCCUUCCCACCUUCCCCUUCGCAGAAGGGUGCUGGGCUGCCAUACUGCUCACCCUUCCGGCACUGGACUAGGCAAGCUCGGACCAGGCGCUCUGCAGAAGAGCCCGCAGGCCCCGAGCAGGAGAAGAGCUGGUGUCCCACAUCUCCCACAGUCAGAGAGCAGAUACUCAGCUCUCAGACCAGGAGACAGCCAGAGGAGGAGAGCCCUGAAGAAGAAGAGGCUGCAGACCCUGUUGCAGUACGUCUGGGAGGGCAGCAGGGUCGAGUCUGCCCUGCUUGGCAAGCUUUUGUGAAAGCAGCAGAAGAGACGUCUCGGGUGGACAGAGAGAGACCAGCCUGGGAAAGUGAGACUGGGGGAACAGUCAGCAGCAGCACGGACAGCGAGGACUCCCUGCUGGGCACCAGCGGGAAGGAUCAGGGUCCUGGGACACAAGGGGAUCGGCACAGACCUUCUCCUCCCAGCCAGGCAGAGCAGGCACCGCCACAGAGCAAGGGAGCUCACCAGAGCCAACCAUGGCAGCCCCGUGAGAGCUGGAACAGUUCCAGCAGGGACAUGGGGACACACCAGCUUCCAAAAGCCAGGAGAGGUCCUCCAAGACAAGGUUCCCCACAGAGACAACACUCACACAAUGAGGAGGAACUCCUUGCUCUGUCACCAGCUCCAGCCCCUGCAGGCACAAGCCUUCCAGUCCCCCAGGUGGAAGAGAUCCUCAGAGCCCUCAAUGAUUCUCAUAAGGCCAGUGCAGCCGUUCACGAAGUGCAGAACCAUCUCCUGGAGGAAAUGUUGACGUGGCUCCCAAACAAGCCUGGGACCCCAAAGAAGCACAUGACAGCAAAGGACCCCAUCGGCUUGCCAUGCUGCAGAUGUGUGGCUGAAAGCUGCCCUCACUGCAGAGGACGGAGAGCAGUGCAGGAUGUGCCCGCGCCGGCUGCCCUGCCCAUCUCAGUCACCAUAAAUAUGAGCAAGGACAGAGACCGCCAAAGGAGUCCCRUCUUUAAGCUGAAAAUGAGUCAGGAGCAAGGCUGUGAGCGGGUAUUAACAGAGGAGCUGCCAGAGCAGGGGAAGGGCAAGGGAAACCCCAAGGACAGAGGCAGCUCUAGGAGACUCUGCCCCAAAUGCGGUAAAGUUCGGCGCCAGACAGUGUCCAGCAAUGAAGGCUUGCAGACCUCACCUCCA